rnacentral:hammerhead_ribozyme from 1 species
AAGCGAAACACAGGCAUUCGUGCCUGUGUCUGCUAGUCGUCGUGGACUGGUACUGAUGAGCAGCGAGGA